rnacentral:rRNA from 1 species
AGUGGCAGACGGGUGAGUAACAUGUACCGUAUCUACCCUAUGGCCUGGAAUAACACGAGGAAACUUGUGCUAAUACUGGAAAAGUCUUUACGGAGAAAGCGUUAUGCACCAUUGGAUGAGCCUGCAUUUGAUUAGUUUGUUGGUGGGGUAAUGGCCUACCAAGACUUUGAUCAAUAGCUGAUUUGAGAGGAUGAUCAGCCACAUUGGGACUGAGACACGGCCCAAACUCCUACGGGAGGCAGCAGUGGGGAAUCUUGCACGAUGGAGGAAACUCUGAUGCAGCGAUGCCGCGUGAGUGAAGAAGGCCUUUGGGUUGUAAAGCUCUUUCGUCGGGGAAGAAAAUGACUGUACCCGAAUAAGAAGGUCCGGCUAACUUCGUGCCAGCAGCCGCGGUAAUACGAAGGGACCUAGCGUAGUUCGGAAUUACUGGGCUUAAAGAGUUCGUAGGUGGUUGAAAAAGUUGGUGGUGAAAUCCCAGAGCUUAACUCUGGAACUGCCAUCAAAACUUUUCAGCUAGAGUUUGAUAGAGGAAAGCACAAUUUCUAGUGUAGAGGUGAAAUUCGUAGAUAUUAGAAAGAAUACCCAUUGCGAAAGCAGCUUUCUGGAU